rnacentral:lncRNA from 1 species
CAUCUCUAAAGGUGUGGAUGUACCUACUCGUCAAAGCCGAAUAAAGAUGAUCCGUAAAAUUUGAAGCUGGUAUCUUCCCCUCUAAAGCUCAAAAAAACAUCCCAUCUCCGAUAUUGAAAAGAAGAGGUGCCUGAAGAAGCCAUUCUUGGGAGCUAUCUGGUUGUGAGUCCCAAAUUCCAAGACACUGAGAAAAUUUUGGGUCGUCAUGGAAAGAUUCUCUCUCUCGACCUUUUUAACAUAGGAACUUCCUCUAAUCUUGCAAGGAACUUUCAUAUUUUUUAUUUUAUCUUAUUCUUUUUAGUUUUUAAUUUUGUUAAUGCCUAUAUGCAUUGUGUUUGGAACAAAGGGCGAGGCUUCAUGGAAAGGCCGGUGCAUUUUCUUUCUGUGAGAGGUGAAUAGGCCAGGAAAGAAGGUGGACAUCAAAGUCAACACUGACUGCUAUUGCCUGCCUCUUUUCUCAUUUUUGGACUAUGUUGUAGCUUUUUCAUUCCUUAAUCCCAUACCAUCAGUAAUCAACAUUUUAUCAAUUUUUCUUAUUUUUUAUUGUUUACAUUUAGAAAUAUUAAUUUUAAAAUUUUAACUUAUAAGUUAAUUUAUAACCACAGCAACAACAACAACAAUAAUUAGGAGUAAAGCAUAUUAAAGGUUUGUUGAGAAUGAUUUUGAUAAAAAUAAUUUAAACUUGUAAUAGUAUUAUUAAUAACAAUUUAUUAUAUAUAAAUUUUUAUAGUCAUUUAAUGUUCACAUAUAAGUGAAAAAAUGUUCUUGAUAAUUUGUGUAUUAAAGGUUUGGGAUACAAUUUUAAAAUUCACCUUCCCUAUUUUGUCAUCAAUGAUUCGCUGAGUCCUUUUUAAAAAUGAUAAAAUUUAAAAUAAAAUUCACUUUGUGUCUUGACGCUUUUUCUUUUUGACCAAGACUCUCUGUGUCAGCCUGACGCUUUUUCUUUUUUACCAAGACUCUGUGUUUAUAUGAGGGAGAGAAAGAGAGAGAGAGAGAGAGAGAGAGAGAGAGAGAUAUGCUCUUUUUAGCAAGGUGGCAUCUCAGCAACUACAAGGUUUUUGAGACAAUUAUUUUCUUGGCUAUAGAAUUGCUAAGCCCUAUUUCAUAUUUGAUUUUCACUUGGGAAAAUAAGAAAUGUUUUAACUUUCUCUAAUUUUAUUUUUUUCCCUUUCGUUUUUUCAACCUCUAAAUUUUACAACAUGCAAAUGCAAUUAAUAAUUAUUGACUUACAAAAAUAAAUUAAAUUAUCUCAAUUUCAUUUUCAUGUAAUUGAAUUGAAAAAUGAAUUUACCGUAAAUGAGAAAAAAUGUUAAUUAAAAAACCAAGCUAAUUUGAAAUAGGUGGUAUUUUUUAUCAAGAAAAUUUAAAUCUAAAACUUUUAAAUUUUCACUCAAAAGAAAAAUUGGUAAAUACAAAUAACUUAAUUUGAUUAAGAAAUGAACCUAACAGCCUUCUUGUCCAUCUUGUUGCGUAGAUGAUUAGGUACAAAGACAUAGCAAACACAUCCGAAAACUCGAAAAUAACUAACUGUAGGCUUUAUGUUCCACAAUUUUUCAAAGGGUGAUGAAAAAUUUAACCUUUGUUGAGGAAGCCUAUUGAUCACAAAAGCUGCAGUCUUCAUUACUUCUGCCCAAAACCGUCCUGGAACAUUCUUUGCAUGAAGCAUACUUCUACAGAUUUCUGCUAGGUGCCUGUUCUUUCUUUUUGCUACGCCGUUUUGAUGCGGAGUGUUGGCACAUGUGAAUUGAUGGCGUACUCGGCAUUCUCGGAGGAAGUAAAAAAACUCAUCUGAGGUAUACUCUCCCCCAUUGUCAGUACACAGACAACAAAUUCUCUUAUCAACCUCUGCUUCCGUCAUUUCCUUGAAUUCUUUAAACUUUGAGAAAGUUUCAGAUUUUUAUUUCAUAAAGUACACCCACACGUACUUGGAAAAAUCAUCAAUAAAGGUCACCAUGUAUUUCAUCCCACUAAGAGAGGCUUGCUUAACAGGUCCAAACACAUCAGAGUGAAUUAGCUCUAAUGGCCCCUUUGCUUUCCAUUUUGACUCUUCAUACGGCAACUGAUGCGCUUUGCCGUACUGACGUCCUGCGCAGAUUGUAUCUUUUCUCACUUCAAGUUGUGGAAGUCCCUUCAGCAUUGACUUUUUCAUCAUCACAGUUAGUUUGGAAUAACUAACGUGACUUAAUUGCAUAUACCAUAAAUCGGCUGUCUCGUUCUUUCUGGUCUUGUCUACAUAUGCGGUUUCUGCAAACAUCACAUAGACUGACUCUAGUCUCCGUCCCUUUAUCACCGGCUCUUCCAUAAUCUCAAGGUCACGAUAAACUUUCACAUCUUGAGGGCCAAAUAGAACAAAAUGGCCUGAAGACGUUAAUUGUGCAACCGAGAGAAGAUUUUUCUUCAUACCUGGGACGUGAUAGACAUUUUGAAGCAUCACAUCAUUAGUAUUAUAUUGGGAAAAGACUACUGUAUUACCAAUGUGAGCUAUUGGUAGUUUUGAGUUGUUCGCUGUGACUACCAUAUGUCUUCCCUUGUACUCCGAAAAAUCCUGCAGCUUUUCUUUAUCACCUGUCAUAUGAUUUGGGUAGCCUGAGUCAAUGAUCCAAUCCUUCUCAUAAUGAAUUUGUUUAGACGUUGUUGCUAUAAAAGCUAAUUCUCCUAUUACAACAAAAAAUGCCUGAGUGUCCCACUCAUCUUCACUUUUGGAAGUAGCAGCAUUACUUUCCACAAGCCCUUUUUUCGACCAACAAUCUUUUGCCAUGUGACCCUUUUUUCCGCAAUUGUAGCACUUCCCUUCAAAUUUUUUUCCUGGUGCCAGGAUUCUUCGAAUCUCCCUCAACACGAGCACUCCUUUCACCUUGACUACUUUUUGCCUUGUCCUCAUUCUUUUUAGUUCUAUCGACGGUGUGCUGCUUGGAAUUCCACCUGCCUUUGUGGGCAUAAAGCGCUUCCUCUUCACCCUUGAGUGAAACCCCUCCCAUUUGUUUAGCUAAGGCUUCUUGACCAGUAAGCAAAUUCUCAAACUCAACAAGUGAUGGUUGAUUUUGCCAUCCCUGUACAACAGCAACAAAACCUCUGAAUUCUGGUCUCAAACCAUGGAUGAUUAUUCUCUUCAUCCUGGUUUCACCGAUUGGGGCUUCUAGAUCCAACUCGAAAAUUUCCCGGCAUAACGUCUUCACCUUGUGAAAGUACUGAGUGAUCGUCAAGUCACGUUGUGCUACCGACAACAACUCGCUCUCUAGAAGUUGGAGCCUUGUGUCAUUCUUCUUUGAGAACAGCUUGGUGAACGUAUUCCAAGCUUCGUAAGGGGUUUUGGCAUCUCAAAUGUGCUCUAGCACAUCUUCUUCGAUCGUUGUCUUCAAAGCAAACAUCGUUUUGCCUGCUUUUAUCUUCCAUAUCCGCAGUAUACCAUUCACAUCCUCAGCCUCCAAUUGAGUAAUUUCGCUUCUGUUCACAACCUCCCACAAGUCUUGGCCUUGCAUGUACGACAUCAUGCAUGUUAACCAAGUAUUGUAAUUUUGGUUGUUGAGCUUUUUUAUUCCGCCAAUGACUUGAAGAUCACCCAUUUCACUCUCUCUUUUCCUCACGUGUUUGACUCUCAAACACUCUCUAAAAUCCCUCUUCAACCUGACUCUGAUACCAAAUGUUGAAACCACUUUAUAAAAGAGACACAUAGAGGAGGAAAGAAAAUAAUUUUAUUGAUAGGGUGAUAUUUUUAAACUUCACCUGAUACAAGCCUUUUAUAGGCAAAACCAUCAACAGAAAUAGAAAUACUAAAAAAUAGGAAUAGAAAGAUAACCAGUCACUCUAAACGUGCUGCAACGACCUCUCUAAGACUUGGACAAUUCUUAAUUUAUUGAAAAACUACACAGAGGCAUAUUUUUGACACAAAAACAAACUUGACUUGUUCAAUACAUCCUCUCGGUCACAUGCUGAUGUUGAUAACUUAAACAACUUAUUUGUACAAAUUUUUCCCCUAGGAUAUCUGCUAGAAGUUGUUUUUGUAAUUCAAGCAAUGGAUAGUGUUGCCAUGCCUCACGAACAUUUGAAAGAAAGAUAGCAUCUUCAAAUUGAUGAGCAAUUUCGUUGUAUAUUACUUUGGCGAGGAUGGUCUUUCCUAUUCCACCAAGUCCAUAUAUUCCUAUCACGCGAACAUCAUUUGACCAGUGCAUUCAUUUCUUCCAAACGGAAAUCCAUUCCGACGAGGUUCUCAUCAACAUGAAAGCGUUUAGGUUAUGUUUGGUUCCCGAAAAAUAUUAAAGAAAGAAAAAAAAUGCAAAGAAAAAUGAUUUUUUCAUGUUUGGUUGUCCUAUGAAAAAUAUAAAAGAAAAUCAAAUAUAAUUAAAACUAAUUAAAAACUUAUGUAUUUUAAAAUUAUUUAAUCUUUAUAUUAAUGAGUUAAAAUAAAUAAAAUGAGUUUGAAGUAAAAAAUAAAAAUAACUAAUCAACUUUUAAUCCAUUUUUUAUUUUCCUUCACUUUUUCUUUCCUUCUAUUUUUCCUUUGUAUUUUCUUUCUCUUGCAUUUUCCUUCAAAUUUUCUGAGAACCAAACAUAGCCUUAGGCUUCAGCAUAUUGGAAACGUUUUGAGUAAUGCGAUGAAUGAUCUCAGAUUCCCAAAUGGAAAGCACAAUAUAACAACCUCCAAUGAACUACAAAUUAAUUGUAAGAAAAAAAAAAUUGAUGAUGAUUUAGUUUUAGUUUUUUUUGAAGCAGGUGAAACUAUUGGUGGCAGACUGGCAGUUGCCAUUAGAAAAAUGAAAAAUACCAAUCGAGUUUAUUUGUGCCGCAGGUGAAACUACUUAGUUUUUUUAAAAUUACUUUUCUAUUUUUUAAAUAUGAUUUAAAAAUACCUUUCUAUUUUUUAAAUAUGAUUUAAACGUUUUUCUAUUUUUGAAAUUAAAACCCUAUUUUAAAAAAAUUAUGGUCAGUUUGGUGGUCAUUCUCUACAAAUAAUCUUUAAAAAUAAGAUGAAAUAAAAAAGAAUUUUGGAGAACAAGUAAUAUAAGUUAUUUUUACAUAUUUAUAAAAACAAAGAAAAGCAUUGGGAAGUAAUUUAAAAAAGAAAAUAAUAAAAAAAUAAACAAAGUCUGAUAGAUCUCUUUCUUCUUUUAUUCUCUCUCCACCAAUCAAUAUCAAAAUUUUUAAAUAUGAUUCCUUUUUAAUUACACUUUAUUUAUUUAUUUAUUUGAAUUUACUUUAACUUUUAAAAUUCUUUAGGUAAAUAAAUUCCAAAUCAAAUGGUACAUGAUAUAUAUGAUUUAUUAAUUUAAAAAAAAAAAUUAAAACUCAAAAACCAAUCCAAUUAGUGUUGGAAAGUUACAAAACUCAAAACCAAUAUAGAAAACAAAUUUUGUUAAUUUUUUUACCAUGAACUUCAAAUCAAGUAAAAUUUAAUAUUUUUUUAUUCAUAAAUAAGUUUAGUAAUUUUUAAAAAUAAUUUCAAACUCAAAUAAUAACUCAAUUAAUAUAAAAAAUUUAUAAACAAAAAUUAGUUUAAAAUUACUUUAUUGUUUGACUAAUCUAUAGAAUCAUUUUUUUCUUUAAUUUGUUAGCAAGUUUAUUAAUUAAAAAAAAUAUAGAAUUCAAAACAUAACACAAUUAGUAGUGGAAAUUCACAAUCUAAAAUCUAUCCAAAAUGACUCUUAUAUUUCUCAUACAAAACUUUAUUUUUAUGAGUUUUGUCGCUGAAAAAAUGGAUUUUUAAUAGAAUUCAAAAAUAGACCAAAGUACUAUAAAAAAUAAUAAACCAAAAUUAAUACAUAAUAAGUUAUAACUUACUGUUUCUCCUAAGCGCAUAACCAUAUUUUCCAAAUUUUCUUGCUAGGUAAAUAGAAUCUAAAUCGGGACUUAAUAUCUUAAAUUCUUUAAUGAAUCUUCUCAUUUUUAAGAUAAUUUGAAAUUAAAAAAAAAAAACUAAAGAUAAAAACUAAUCCAAAAUACUAUGCCCUUAAUUGAAUGGUAAAUGUAUAGAUGUACUAAAAAUUUUACAUAUUUAAAUAUUAAAAAUAUUAAACUUUAUUUAUUUUUAAUAAAUCGAGACUUAAUAUCUUAAAUUCUUUAAUGAAUCUUCUCAUUUUUAAGAUAAUUUGAAAAAAAAAAACUGAAGAUAAAAACUAAUCCAAAAUACUACGUCCUUAAUUAAAUGGUAAAUGUAUAGAUGUAAUAAAAAUUUUACAUUUUUAAAUAUUAAAAAUAUUAAACUUUAUUUAUUUAAAAUUUUUUUUUUGAAUAAAUCAAGACUUAAUAUCUUAAAUUCUUCAAUGAAUCUUCUCAUUUUUACGAUAAUUUGAAAUUUAAAAAAAAAAUUGAAGAUAAAAACUAAUCCAAAAUAGUAUAUCCUUAUUUGAACGGUAAAUAUAUAGAUGUGAUAAACUUUUUUACAUAUUUAAAUAUUAAAAAUAUUAAACUUUAUUUAUUUUUAAAUUUUAUUGAAUAAAAUAUUAUUAAUUUUAAAUUAUUAUUUAUUUUAAUAAAAAAUCAAUUAAGCUUGAGAAAGAUGAUCACAUUUUUAUAACAUGUACUAAAAUAGUAUCAUUUUUGUAUAUAUAUAUAUAUAUAUAUAUAUAUAUAUAUAUAUAUAUAUAUAUAUAUAUAUAUAUAUAAUUCAUUAUUUUAGUACAUGUAAACAAGCAUAUAGGAAGUGAGCAAUGGAUGCCAAGAACGGACUCUCAGUUAAUUUUGGUCAUGCUUAUCCGAUUUCAUCAAACUCAGUUUCCAACACUUAAAAAUCAAACAUAAUUGUGACUUAAGUUGUCGAUGAAUAAAAAGCAACUCAAAACGGAAGAGAAAGAGUAGUUAUAUAACAUGCCCAUGCUGCACAUGCCAUCCAGACAGACCGCCGGCUUCGGUCAGUGCCGCCCUCCAUCUCAGCACCCUCUCCUCAGUGACGUUUCCGUAUCUUGCAAAUGCUUCUCCAAAACUUCCCGUUUGUUUCCGCACAUCAGAUGGAUCCACAUGGUAGAAAAUUGGUAGAACUUUUUGGCCCUUUUCUCUGCUGCACUGCAUGAUCUUAUCAAGCUCAUCCAAGCACCAUUUUGAAUGAGCAUAGUUUUCUGAAAAAACGACAACAGAAAUCAUUGAAUCUUCAAUAGCUUUCAAGAGUGAAGGUUGAAUCUCUCGUCCUCUUUCAAGUCCUUCAUCAUCUCUAAAGGUGUCGAUGCCCAUCCUCGUCAAAGCCGAAUAAAGAUGAUCCGUAAAAUUUAAGCGGGUAUCUUCCCCUCUAAAGCACAAAAAAACAUCCCAUCUCCAUUGAAAAGAAGAGGUGCCUGAAGAAGCCAUUCUUGGGAGCUAUCUGGUUGUUAGUCUCAAAUUACAAGACAAUCAGAAAAUUAUGGGUUGUUGUGGGAAG